GGAUACGGCCAUACUGCGCAGAAAGCACCGCUUCCCAUCCGAACAGCGAAGUUAAGCUGCGCGAGGCGGUGUUAGUACUGGGGUGGGCGACCACCCGGGAAUCCACCGUGCCGUAUCCU
rnacentral:rRNA from 14 species